UACGGAGGGUGCGAGCGUUGUCCGGAAUCACUGGGCGUAAAGCGCACGUAGGCGGAUUCUUAAGUCGGUGGUGAAAUCCUGGAGCUCAACUCCAGAACUGCCUUCGAUACUGAGAGUCUUGAGUCCGGGAGAGGUGAGUGGAACUGCGAGUGUAGAGGUGAAAUUCGUAGAUAUUCGCAAGAACACCAGUGGCGAAGGCGGCUCACUGGCCCGGUACUGACGCUGAGGUGCGAAAGCGUGGGGAGCAAACAGG
rnacentral:rRNA from 1 species